AGAGUUUGAUCCUGGCUCAGAAUCAACGCUGGCGGCGUGCCUAACACAUGCAAGUCGAACGAGAAAGUGAAGCAAUCCAUGAGUAAAGUGGCGACCGGGUGAGUAACACGUGACUAACCUACCCUCGAGUGUGGAAUAACAUCGGGAAACCGAUGCUAAUACCGCAUAACAUCGCAAGAUCAAAGGAGUAAUCCGCUUGAGGAGGGGGUCGCGGCUGAUUAGCUAGUUGGCGGGGUAACGGCCCACCAAGGCGAAGAUCGGUAGCCGGCCUGAGAGGGCGCACGGCCACACUGGAACUGAAACACGGUCCAGACUCCUACGGGAGGCAGCAGUGGGGAAUUUUGCGCAAUGGGGGAAACCCUGACGCAGCAACGCCGCGUGGAGGAUGAAGCCCCUUGGGGUGUAAACUCCUUCGACCAAGACG
rnacentral:rRNA from 1 species